UGAAGGGACUUAUAAUAUCAAUGUACCAUCUCUCUCUCUCUCUCUCGCUCUCGCCUCUCCACGCCCUCCUCAAAAGUGUUCCUCGGGUGCUGGUGGCUGCUUUUUUGCCUCUGGCAGCCCGCCGAGGCGAACAGCACCCCCGGCCGCUCCUCGACGGCCGCAUUAACUUGAUAAUUAGCUGUGUUAGGACUUGCAGAUGAGAGGAGAAAGACAGACUUGCUCGCUCGCUCGCUCAGCCCCGCUCGCUCUUUCGCUCACUUGGUGCUUUUCCCUCGCACGAAUUGGGACCACACUCCGGUCGUGAACGACGCCUCGGCAGGACCCCCGGACGCCGCACCCCUGCCCACCGGCGAUACUGCACCGCCGGACGGAGGACCACGUGCUCACCAACAUGGCCGCCGCCGACACGCAAGCAAGGCGCAUGGAUUUGGCUGCAAAAUCGCGGGUGGCGCGACGCACCGCGCAUUUUCUGCCCGGGGAGAUGCGGAAUGUGGAUUAUGUUUGGCGCGAGUCAAUAAAAAGCGUGCAGAGGCGCUGCGUUUUUCCGAGGCCAAAAGGUGAACUGUGGCAGAUAAGCCCGGCGCUGAUCUGCUCUGGGCUGAGAGAAGAAAAGAGGAAAGAAGCGAGCAGCAUGUGUACACAGCGAGUCGUGUCUGAGGUGAUUAGAAUUGCUAAUGGCCGCGUGCAAUAAUACCGAGAGCGAGGCUGCUGUUCUCAAUAUGGAGCGAGCCGGCGACUGUAUCAGCAAAGAAGAAGCUCCUCUCUUCGUUUUUUCCAAGGGGCAAAAGCAAUAACACCGAAGUAAGAGAAGAGAGAGUCGAAUCUGGCUGCAGCAUUUUCUCAUAAAGAAAGCAGCUGCCGAGAGAUAGAAAGAAAAAGCCUCCUGAAUUCUGAAAUGAGAUGGAACUCGAACAUCUGUUUUCCGCCAGACAAGAUUAAAAACGGGUCUCUCUUAUUGUUUUCACCGAGAGAGAGAAAAAAAUUCGGCAGGCCUCAAUCAAAUUCUGACCCUCUUUUAUUAAUUUUAUUUUUUGCCAGCAUUCGCAUGAAAAAUUCAUGCAGUCCGCAGAAUUUUUUUCUUUCGAUUCAUUCAGAAAUUCUCUUUCCUUGUGUGGAAGAGAGUGGGGUUAACAAGUGUGUAAUUAAUUAUCAUUCGGCACGGAUUGGCCGUCCUGAUUGGAAUACAAAGGUCUCGAGCAUUUGAUAUUCUCGAGCCACCGGAAUAAAUUUGCUACUAAUCACCUGCGAGCAGAAGGAUGUGUUUAUUUGCGCCUCUUUAAAUUUAUAUGAGCGCAGACCGGCCUGUCAAACGCGCUCAGUGCGAAAGUUGAAUUAAUUUGAAUGGGUCUCCGGAGAGCGGAAUUCAUAAAUAUGUAAUUGCAGCGUGCUCUCGCUCGCACUUGUAGCUCUUAUACGUUCAAACGCAGCUCAUUAUAUUGACUAAAGGUCGUGUUUGUUUUGCUUAAUAUGGAAAACGAACAAACAGCCAGAUCAAGACUGCAAAAUAGAAUCAAAUAAAAAUUACAUAGCUGCAGUACUUUGGCAAUGAAAAUUUUAAAAUUUUUAAUUUUAAUUAUUUAUUUUAUUCCCCAAUAAAGAUGUAAUAAUAAAAACAGAAAGUUUUGGAAAUAUGAAACUAGACUAAACCGAAAAAAUAAGGGUCUUGUUUACAAGUAAUACAAUAAUUCAUACAUCUAUUGAGUUUACAUAAUAUCAUGUUUGUCAAGAUAGUUUGAUAAUAUAUGAAAAUUCCAAAUUAUGCUAAAAUUAAGUUUCUAAACUUUUUUUUUUUUAUAUCUAUUACAAAUAUUUGCGAUAUUUAGUAGACAAGUAAUAAAAAUAAGAACAAAUCACAUAAUUGUAGGUUAAAGAAAAACACCAAUAUUGAAGCCGAAUAUAUACAAAACUGACUUCUUUUGUGAAAAAAGCCUAAACACAGACCAAAUCGGACCUAAUUUAAAAAUAAAAACAUUAAACUUAGUUUUUUUAAAUUUGAAAAUUAAUGGGUUUUUUUUGUUAAGCUCAUAAAUCAAUGGAUAUUUUAAUUCUACUCUUUGAAUAUUCUCUUUAAAUUAAAUAAGUUUUGUUUCACUUAUAACAAUUGAAAUUGUUGCUUAAUAAAAUAAUAGCAAAAUCUGUAAAUAACCGAUGAUAAAGGGCGAGUUUAAUCUCAUCGGAUAUUUCUGCAAAGGAAUACUGAGCAACUAAAAACACAAACACUCGUAGGAAUAUAGAAUUCCAGUCCGGUGAUUCCCAGCAAGGCGCCCUCGGCUAAUAUUUUUAUUUAGUUUCACGCUCGGAUUCACAGCUCUGUUUGUGUUUGUUCUGUCCAAUUGCCCCUCAAGAUGUUUAUACGCACGUUCGCAGGUGAUGCUUUUCUCUCCGAAAAAAAAUCCUUAACGCUUCUGUGCCGAAAAAGCGGAGAAACAAAAGCAAGAGAAAAUCUCGCUUGAGGCGAAAUUAUUUCCAGUGGAAUGAGCGAUGAUUUAUUUGCUAAAUAAAUUCUUUAAACUAAAAAGAGAUGCAAAAUAAAAAAUAACACUUUGUUUUUUUUAUGUAAUUUAUUAACAUUAAAAUUUUAAA